rnacentral:rRNA from 1 species
ACGGAAGGCAGCAGUGGGGAAUAUUGCGCAAUGGGCGAAAGCCUGACGCAGCGACGCCGCGUGAGGGAUGAAGGUCUUCGGAUUGUAAACCUCUGUCAGAAGGGAAGAACAUGCACCGUGCCAAUCAGCGGUGCAGUGCCGGUACCUUCAAAGGAAGCACCGGCUAACUCCGUGCCAGCAGCCGCGGUAAUACGGAGGGGGCGAGCGUUAAUCGGAAUUACUGGGCGUAAAGGGCAUGUAGGCUGUACGGCAAGUCAGUGGUGAAAGCCCCGGGCUCAACCCGGGAACUGCCAUUGAAACUGCCGAACUGGAGUAUGAGAGAGGAUAGCGGAAUUCCAGGUGUAGGGGUGAAAUCCGUAGAUAUCUGGAAGAACAUCAGUGGCGAAGGCGGCUAUCUGGCUCAUUACUGACGCUGAGAUGCGAAAGCGUGGGUAGCAAACAGGAUUAGAUACCCUGGUA